AAGCAAAAGAUGAAAAGAACAAAGACGAAAAUAUAUAUUUUUACAAGAGUGAGGAGAUUCCUCUCAAAAUCAAAUCACGGAAGUACCAAAGGACAAAACUUCUUGACUGAGGGAAUGAACAUAAAGGGCUGAAGGUUAUUUUGUUCAAGUUUUGUUCCCAAUUGUGAUAGGGUAGGUCUGCAGUAUACACUAAAAUAGAGGUGAAUACUGGAGAAUAAUAGUGAGAAGUGAAGAAAAUGUUGAGAACAAAAGAUUAAAGAAGCAAAGAUACUGGGAAAGUUGGGAAAAGCCAGAAAUCAAAUGGAGAAGAGACACUACUACUACAAGGACAAAUCUUCAAUGUACUAAACUCUAAUAUGACCAAAAAUGAUAAUAAAAGAGAAGCAAAUUCUGAUUAAAAUGCUGCAACUAUCUAUAAUCAAUUUUUCCAAUUACAUGUGUUUGGUAAAUGAUUACUUAUUUAUUGUAUAAGAUGAUGUAUUGACCCAAUAAGCGUGUUAAUAUAGAAGUAGGUCUUGUUGGUGUUUUGAAAAUAGAGAAUGAAAUAACUUCGUUAAUGUACUCUCAAUCAUUUGAUAUGUUGAUCACUGUAUAUGU